CAACCCUUAAGCCUAGCUUAGUGUUGAGAAUCUACUGUAUUGUAGUUCUCUAAAUCCAACGGCGGAUCUGUGGUAUCCUCUGAGCGUAGUAAUUUUUAUCUCGCUUUUGUUAGGUGCUGCAGCUCUCGGCCGCUAAACCCCCCAAUUUUUAAU
rnacentral:misc_RNA from 1 species